GACGAACGCUGGCGGCGUGCUUAACACAUGCAAGUCGUACGGUAAGGCCCUUUCGGGGGUACACGAGUGGCGAACGGGUGAGUAACACGUGAGUAACCUGCCCACAACUUUGGGAUAACGCUAGGAAACUGGUGCUAAUACUGGAUAUGUGCUCCUGCUGCAUGGUGGGGGUUGGAAAGCUCCGGCGGUUGUGGAUGGACUCGCGGCCUAUCAGCUUGUUGGUGGGGUAGUGGCCUACCAAGGCGGCGAGGGGUAGCCGGCCUGAGGGGGUGAGCGGCCACACAGGGUCUGAGGGACGGCCCAGGCGCCGACGGGAGGAAGCAGGGGGGAAGAUUGCACCAGGCGCGCCAGCCUGGUGCAGCAGCGCCGCGGGCGGGAAGACGGUCUUGGGGUUGAAAAACGGUUUCAGCAGAGACCAAGCUUUUUGUGACGGUACCUGCAGAAGAAGCACCGGCUAACUACGUG
rnacentral:rRNA from 1 species